GUUCCACACUAUGCAUAAUUUUACAAACUUGGUUAGAGCAUGGUGCUGAUGAUGCCAAGGUCGCAGGUUCGAUCCCUGUGAGGGACA